rnacentral:lncRNA from 1 species
AUGAAGCUGAACAAUAAUGUGACUGAGUUCAUUCUACUUGGGUUAUCACAGGAUCCUGUUAGGAAGAAAAUAGUGUUUGUCACUUUCUUGUUUUUAUAUUUGGGAACAUUACUGGGUAGCUUCCUGAUUAUUUCCACCAUCAAGACCAGCAGGACAUUUGGAAGUCCAAUGUACUUCUUCCUUUUCCACUUAUCUUUAUCUGAUACCUUUCUCUCAACUUCCAUUGCCCCUAGAGUGAUUUCUGAUGCCCUUAGGGGAAAGAGCACAAUCUCUUUCAAUGAGUGCAUGACUCAAGUCUUUGCAUCACAUCUUUUUUUGUUGUUGCCUAGAGAUCUUCAUCCUUAUUCUCAUGGCUGUUGACCACUAUGUGGCCAUCUGUAAGCCCCUUCGAUACAUGACCCUCAUGAGCCAUCGAACCUGUGGUGUGUUGGUAGCUGUGGCCUGGGUGGGGUCUUGUGUUCAUUCUUCAGCUCAGAUUCUUCUAGCCUUGAGUCUGCCUUUCUGUGGUCCCAAUGUAAUUGAUCAUUAUCUAUGUAACUUGCAGCCUUUGUUGAAAUUGCGUGUACAGACACCUAUGUGACCAACCUACUCUUGGUGUCCAACAGUGGUGCCAUCUGUACAGUGAGUUUUGCCAUGCUGAUGUUAUCCUAUGCUAUCAUCUUGCAUUCUCUGAGAAACCACAGUGCUGAAGGGAGGAAGAAAGCCCUAUCCAACUGCAUCUCUCACAUCAUCAUGGUCAUCUUGUUCUUUGGUCCUUGCAUAUUUAUAUACACAUGCCCUGCAACUACCUUCCCAAUACAUAAGAUGAUAGCUGUGUUUUACACAGUUGGAACACCUUUGAUCAACCCUCUGAUUUACACACUAAUGGAUACAGAAGUGAAAAAUGCCAUGAGAAUGUUAUGGGGCAAGAAACUGACAACAGGUGACAAAAGAUAA